rnacentral:rRNA from 1 species
AUGAGUACCAGGGCGUGGAGGCCCACGGCAACACCAAGUUGCACGUCAUCCACACCAACGACAAGAAGCAGGUGGCGAUCACCCUCGCAUAGUACGAGCGCCACCUCAGCCUCCAGCACCACAAGAUCGUUGGCAUUGAUCUCAAGUACAACAACGAGCCUGAAGCGACGCAGAAACCCGCCCUCUGCCAACUCUCCAUUGGCAAGAAACACCCGGUGCUGCUCUUCCAACUGA